UACAGAAUUAUUCAGCAAAUAUUGAAGCAUUGUCCUGUAUUUAAACCUGCAUAGUUUUUUCUUCAAUGGCUGUGAAGGCAGUCUUGACUCUGUAAAUCAAUAUGCUGCGGUUUUGUUGAUUCCAGUGUCAGGAGACUGAAACAAAAGACCAGUGGUGAACAUGACUCAAGAUUUCCCUGAGAGGACCUCUGCCUUUGAAUUGAUGACAUCCUUUGACAACUGUGUUCCUUCAGAAACUAUGAGCUUGUCAACCUCAAGGGUGAAGCACGUGGGAGCUGGAAAUGUGGCUUCCUUGGCAUCAAGGCAAGUGGUUUGGAUCUCAUUAUGGUGGAAAUAAGAAAGACAACAAAUCUCACUGCCUUCAGAACAAAGUCUAAGGCUCAAUUUUUCAACUUCACUUUUCUGAAGCUGCUGCUAAAAAUACGCAGAAAGAAAAUACAAAGGCAAAACCAGAAAAUAAAAAGAAGGAACAGCAAAGGAGAGAAAAGCAGCUGGCUGCGGGAAGAGAACUACGUAUCUUUUGUGGUUUACUGUGAAUUUAGUGGUAAUUUGUUGUAAGCUGUUUUAACAGUUGACAUGGAAAAUUCUGUAAGAAUCUAAAUAGGAAAUUGUGUAUAGAUCUAUAAUGGUUUUUCUCUUGCUUUCAGUUCUGAUGUUAAACACCCUAUCACCCAGAUAACUGAGUGAUUGGUAAUAACAGAGUAGCUACUGGAAAAAUUAUAUCUUAUAGUUUUAUCAAUGGAGUCUAAGGGUACCUUUUGUUGUUAAAAACUUCGUAAUUUUUGACUUUACUGACACAUUUCUCUAUUACUGCUACAGUAACAAUCGCACAAGCAUAGUAAGUUAUGAGAUGACUUCCUGAGCACUGUUGGCCUUAUCAUCCUUCCCCACUGUAGUGCUUUUUAAAUUAUUCCAUAACAUUGGCGUUGGUUGCUGAUUUAGCGAUAUCUUUCAGCUUUCAUCUCUCAAACUGAGGAGUUUGUUGAGCUACUGAUCACACCUGAGUCAAUAUUCAAUGGACGUAGUUACAAAGCAUCUGUAACCUUGGGACAUACCUGUAUUUGACAGUGGAGCCUGAUUCAGCCACACCCAAGAUAACAUGAUUCAAUUAGGACUUCAUCCAGAAGCAGUGGAGACUCUAUCAAUGCAGCAUUACUCUAAUGUGAGUUGCCUUAGCUGGAUAACAGCUUUGCAGAAAAAAGUUUGGUGAUUCUCGUGGACACCAAGUGGAACACAAGCCAACAGCGUUCCCUUGCAGCAAAGAAGGUUAAUGGUAUUCUGGGCUGCAUUAAAAUUGCUUCCAGCAGGUCAAGGGACAUCACAGAAUCAUAGACCCAUUUACGUUGUAAAAGACCUUUAAGAUUAUUGAAUCCAACCACAAACCUAACACUGCCAAGUCUACCUCUAAACUAUAUCCCUAAGUGCCACACUUCUUCUGUGCUGAACCCUGAUGAGGCUACCCUUGGACUGACCUGUGUCCAGUUCUGAACUUUCCAGUCCUAGAGAGACAUGGUCAUACUGAAGAGAAUCCAAUGAAGAACCAUAAACAUGAUUAAGGGAUCCAAGCAUGUCUCCCACAAGAAAAGGCUGACAGAGCUGGGAAUAUUCUGCCCAGAGAAGAGAAAGCUCAGAGUUGAUUUCAUCAAUGUACAUAAGCUCCUGAAAGGAGGCAACAAAGAAGUCAGAGUCAGACUCUUUCCAGUGGUGCCCAGUGACAGGACCAGAGACAAUGAGCACACACUGAAAGACAGGAAGUUCAUCCUGAACAGCGGGAAACACUUUUUCAUUGUGAGAAUGGCUGAGCAGUGGCACAGGUUGCCCAGAUGAUGAAGUCUACCUCUUUGGAGAUGUUCAGUAGCUGUCUGGACAUGAUCCUGGGUGACUGGCUCUAGUUGGCCUUGUUUGAGUGGGGGUUUGGACUAGAUGACCUCUAGAAGUCCAUUAAAAUCUUAGCCACUCUAUGAUUCUGCGAUUCUAUGUGUCUGUUAUCUGAAUCUCACAACAAAAUCAGUCAAUGAAUUUUCUAACGGCUCACAGUGGUCUAAAGGAAACCUCCUAAAGACCAUCUGACUGGAUAAAAAUGCUGUGAUUAAUCUUGAAAGAGCAAGUUUGUUUAGCUUUCGGUAGCUUUUACUAUCCUUAACCUACAUUUUUUUUCUCUGAUCAUAACUAACCAGUAUUACUGCAUUGGUAGCAUUAUUCCUCUAAAUGAUUAGUUUUUUUCUGUCAAGAAUCAAGCCUUUGAUAUGAAAAUCUACAGCCUUUAGAAACAUAGCUUUUUUUCUGAUAUAAACUGCAAAGGUAAGAUGCAGGUAAAUAUAUAACGGACCCAUGAUAUCUUGCCAUAACAUGACUUAAUUUGAUAUCGCUAUAAGCUGCUUAGGGACAUGUCUCUUAUUUGUAACUAAGCUUAGAAAUGCUAACUUUACUGUGGUGAUUUCAGGAAGUUUAUCUAGAUUUUUUUAAAGGCUGAAGUCCCAGAAUUGUUUGCCUAUUUUUUUUAAAAGAGGUACUUUCUGAAUCUUGGUGAAUGUUGUAUCUGCCUUCAUGUUAACCAGAAACCCACAACUGCCGUGAACUGACUUGUUGGAUAUGUCUUUAUCAGUCAGCCAAUUAGCAGAGCGGAGAGGUGUUGUCACGAGCCUGUCAUUGCACCUGACUCAGGAAAAUGGGUGUGUCUCAAAAGGAUGUGAAGGGCAUGUGCAAAGUUUCUUUUAGAAACAGCUACCUAACAAGCAGGGAGGUGAUCAGUGAACUCUUUUUUUCCAAACACAGAACCUAGCUGCCAUCUUGUGCUGAGGGAUAAAUUCCAGCAGCCCAGAAGACAAAAUAAAUUUUAGUAAUAAAAUGCCAUAGUUCAAGUUACCUAUGAAUUUUGGAGUUACCGGAAACACAAUACUGACAGUAAACUUCAUAUUAAUCUUUAUCUGA